UUGGCGACAAGCGUGUGGGUCGACCGUGGCUGCAGCCGCGGCUUUCUUUCUAUUUCUGCUGCAGCUUCCUGUCCUUGACCCAACAAUACAUUGUGAAGUUCUCCGGAGUCAAUGAAUCCUGGUAAAAUGCAGUAAAGGAUUUAAGGUUAUCGUCUGUCUCUCUCUAACUUCUGACAUCUCUUUAUAACAAGAAAGAGUCACAGCCAACUGUAACAGGAGGGCAACACAAUGAAUCCUGCAUAAGGCGUCGUGCUCAAAAUAAACUAGAGAUGGAAGUUGGCUGGAGACUGCGGUUCGGGGACUGCAGCUCAUGGACUGGGUGGGCAUUGGCUUGUUGGUGAUGCCAAAGACCAUCUGGAUCCUUCAGUUAUGCCUUGUUGUGCCUGAUGUCUUACUGUUGAAAGAAAUGGGGUGCAGCAGCAGAUGCCAGCAAAGUAAAGGUGCCUACAUAGUGCUGUUUGCAAAGCAAGUUGUUUUUCUUUAUUUGUAUUUCUGCUGUUGUGAGUCUUGUUGUUUACAGCUUCUCAGCGAGAAGAAUAUCCCAAAUGAAAUUACUGUCAGCAGCCAAAGAAAGUAUCCAUAAUUCAUCCCAAAGCACUGUCAACUUAAUUUUAAAGUAAUCGUUCUGCUUUAUGAGUUCAGACUGAAGUGGUAAGUUUGCAAAUCCCUAAAUCAAACCAUAGGAAAUAAAGGAAAUACAUAUCUCCUUUUCAAAUAUUCUGAUUUCCUCAAGUUUCAUUGUAAGCAUAGUUUUUAGUAAUUAACUCUUCAAUUACUAGGAACAGAAGAAAGAAAGAAAAUUGUGAACUGUAUUCUGUACAUCUGUACACAACACGUCUCUGUUGUGACUCCAGAACCAUCUCCUGGGCUAUAGAAAAGUUUUUCUAGAUUUAUAAUAGCAGAAAUUAAUUUAGAUUGUGUAUUCCUCUGAGCACAGUGAGAAGCACAUGUGAGUAUUUGUGUAUCAGGUUCAGCCUACUGAGGUCUGUAAAAGGCACACUGUGCUGUGAGGUAUCCAACAUUUCCAAGUGCUGUUCUGGGGCCUGUGCAGGUGUGAGAGUAGUGCAGACACUCCUGAAAUGUCCUCAGUCGGGAGUUUCCAAAUGUUUCCAAACUGACCUCACACACUGCCAGUAACACUGAAGCUGAGUCAAAUUCUUUAGAUCCAAGAGACCCAUUUAGAGAGCAGGUCAGGAAGCCUCCUAUAGGGAAUCAGUGAAAAAUCUGGUGAAGCCUGUGUCCCUGAGUGCAAAAACAGCAGCCUGGCAGUGAGUGUGAGCAUGGUCUUGUUUCUGCUCUUCUGCACACUGGGGAAAAUCGUGCAGAAUUCAUUGUCCCAGGACUCAGCUUAUUGCCACAAAACCAGCAGAGCCUCAGCAUGCAUUCAGGCUCAGAACUGCAACCAGCAGUUACUGAAUAGCAGCCACGUUCUGAAUCUCAACACACCAUGAAAAUCCUCCUUUAAUCAAAUGCUCCCAGGGGAGCAAGAAAUUCAAGAUGCUCUUCCACCCUGGGCUGGUGCACACCACUACGUCAACACUUGGCAUAAAGAGCUUUCUGCUUGUCGAUGCAGUGUGGGGGUGGCAGUCGGGGGGGACACUCGUAACAAGCAAAACCAACAGGCAGCACGUAAGGUAACAUGAGAACAUGAAGGGAGCAAUAAAGAAGAGGCAGAAGGUACAGUACUGAGUGGGGCACUGUGAUGGUUGAAUUCAAAAGCAUUUUGCUUCUCAGCUUGAACUUUUUAAUUAAGGAAUUUCACAGUAAUUUUGACUAAGCUUGAAGAGGAACAAUUUCAGUGUUCUGGCUCACUAAAUACUUUCUUGCAGUCUAAAUAGAUGCAAAGCUCGGAGCUGAAGGAAAUCAGUGCAUUAGCAGCACUUUCUUUCCAGCCUGCGCUGUAGAUAAGUGCUGUCCUGUGGCAACCUUUUUGGGGUCAAGUGAUUUAGAGAGCUUAGACAAGGCUGGGGUUCAGGAUCCCUUUACUCAGACACAAUCCUGAGUAGCACAGGCUGUGAGGAAAUAUUUUCUGACAUUUACUAGAGGGGCAGGGGAGGGAAGGGAGGACUCCUGGUAGCUGUAGGAGAGACAGUAGGCACAGCUAAACUAGAAGGAGGGGAAGGGAUCAGGAAUAUAAUGAGGAGGUGGGGGAAAUGACACUGGAAUAAAAGGGUGAGUAUAUAAGAUACACACUCAUCCUGGCCUUCCUCUGUUCAAAGCACUCCCUCCAAGGGUGGGUACAAGACUUGAAUAGAGGGGAUGGAUGUCAAAAUAUUUCCAUAAGGAAUAUAAGUGCAAUAAAUCAGAGAAAAAGGGCAGAAUGGAGGCAAGGAGCAAAUGGUAGGAGAAUUAUUUUAGUUCUAAGUGAAUGAUUAUGUCUCCUGAGUGAUUACACAUCAGGAUGGUGGUGUGUUGGGGAGGAUUGUUCAGCUAGAUAGAAAGGAGUGCUCAAAUUGCAGUCAUUGAACUGUGGUGCAUGCAAGGGUACAAAUAAGAAAAAUAGUCAAGUAAAAAUCCAACUGGAGUUAACACGUCUUGGGCACUGCAAUCCUUGGGAGUUA